CACUAUGCUUAGCCUUAAACAUUGAUCGUUUACUACAUCAAAUCAUCCGCCUGGGAAUUACGAACAUUAGUUUAAAACCCAAAGGACUUGGCGGUGCUUAAUAUCCACCUAGAGGAGCCUGUUCUAGAACCGAUAAUCCCCGUUUAACCUCACCCCCCCUAGCUUUUUCCGCCUAUAUACCACCGUCGCCAGCUUACCCUGUGAAGGACUAAUAGUAAGCACAAUCGGCACAGCCCAGAACGUCAGGUCGAGGUGUAGUGGAUGGGAGGGGAAGAAAUGGGCUACAUUCGCUGCCCACCAGCGAACACGAAUGCUACAUUGAAACAUGUAGCUGAAGGAGGAUUUAGCAGUAAGCAGAAAGCAGAGUGUUCCGCUGAAGCCGGCUCUUAAGCGCGCACACACCGCCCGUCACCCUCCCCAAGCAACUGGACCUAAAAUUUUCUUUAAACCCUAACAAACGCGAAGGAGAGGAAAGUCGUAA
rnacentral:rRNA from 1 species